ACAGAACCUACCUUCAAUGAUGGGACU
rnacentral:piRNA from 1 species